rnacentral:rRNA from 1 species
AACGAACGCUGGCGGCAGGCUUAACACAUGCAAGUCGAGCGCCCCGCAAGGGGAGCGGCAGACGGGUGAGUAACGCGUGGGAACGUACCUUUUGGUUCGGAACAACUCCGGGAAACUGGAGCUAAUACCGGAUAAGCCCUAACGGGGAAAGAGUUAUCGCCGAAAGAUCGGCGCGCGUCUGAUUAGCUAGUUGGUGAGGUAACGGCUCACCAAGGCGACGAUCAGUAGCUGGUCUGAGAGGAUGAUCAGCCACACUGGGAGUGAGACACGGCCCAGACUCCUACGGGAGGCAGCAGUGGGGAAUAUUGGACAAUGGGAGAAAGCCUGAUCCAGCCAUGCCGCGUGAGUGAUGAAGGCCUUAGGGUUGUAAAGCUCUUUUGUCCGGGAAGAUAAUGACUGUACCGGAAGAAUAAGCCCCGGCUAACUUCGUG